UACAGAGGUCCCAAGCGUUGUUCGGAUUCACUGGGCGUAAAGCGUGCGCAGGCGGUUUUGUAAGCCAGGUGUGAAAUCCCCGGGCUCAACCUGGGAAUGGCAUUUGGGACUGCAAGGCUGGAGUACGGUAGAGGAAGGUGGAAUUCCCGGUGUAGCAGUGAAAUGCGUAGAUAUCGGGAGGAACACCAGUGGCGAAGGCGAUCACCUGGGGUUGUUCUGACGCUGAGGAGCGAAAGCUAGGGGAGCAAAAGGG
rnacentral:rRNA from 1 species